GAGUUUGAUCCUGGCUCAGGAUGAACGCUGGCGGCGUGCUUAACACAUGCAAGUCGAGCGAUGAAGUCUCCUUCGGGAAACGGAUUAGCGGCGGACGGGUGAGUAACACGUGGGUAACCUGCCUCAUAGAGUGGAAUAGCCUUCCGAAAGGAAGAUUAAUACCGCAUAAUGUUGAAAGAUGGCAUCAUUAUUCAACCAAAGGAGCAAUCCGCUAUGAGAUGGACCCGCGGCGCAUUAGCUAGUUGGUGGGGUAACGGCCUACCAAGGCGACGAUGCGUAGCCGACCUGAGAGGGUGAUCGGCCACAUUGGGACUGAGACACGGCCCAGACUCCUACGGGAGGCAGCAGUGGGGAAUAUUGCACAAUGGGGGAAACCCUGAUGCAGCAACGCCGCGUGAGUGAUGAAGGUUUUCGGAUCGUAAAGCUCUGUCUUUGGGGAAGAUAAUGACGGUACCCAAGGAGGAAGCCACGGCUAACUACGUGCCAGCAGCCGCGGUAAUACGUAGGUGGCGAGCGUUAUCCGGAUUUACUGGGCGUAAAGGGAGCGUAGGCGGAUGAUUAAGUGGGAUGUGAAAUACCCGGGCUCAACUUGGGUGCUGCAUUCCAAACUGGUUAUCUAGAGUGCAGGAGAGGAGAGUGGAAUUCCUAGUGUAGCGGUGAAAUGCGUAGA
rnacentral:rRNA from 1 species